rnacentral:rRNA from 1 species
CCUACGGGAGGCAGCAGUGGGGAAUUUUGGACAAUGGGGGCAACCCUGAUCCAGCCAUGCCGCGUGAGUGAAGAAGGCCUUCGGGUUGUAAAGCUCUUUCGCGAGGGAAGAAAACUUACUCAAUAACACUGGGUGAGGAUGACGGUACCUUGAUAAGAAGCACCGGCUAACUACGUGCCAGCAGCCGCGGUAAUACGUAGGGUGCGAGCGUUAAUCGGAAUUACUGGGCGUAAAGCGUGCGCAGGCGGUUUGACAAGUCAGAUGUGAAAGCCCCGGGCUCAACCUGGGAACUGCGUUUGAAACUGUCAGGCUAGAGUGUGUCAGAGGGAGGUAGAAUUCCACGUGUAGCAGUGAAAUGCGUAGAGAUGUGGAGGAACACCGAUGGCGAAGGCAGCCUCCUGGGAUAACACUGACGCUCAUGCACGAAAGCGUGGGGAGCAAACAGGAUUAGAUACCCUGGUAGUCCACGCCCUAAACGAUGUCUACUAGUUGUUGGUGGAGUGAAAUCCAUUAGUAACGCAGCUAACGCGUGAAGUAGACCGCCUGGGGAGUACGGUCGCAAGAUUAAAACUCAAAGGAAUUGACGG